AUUGAACGCUGGCGGCAGGCCUAACACAUGCAAGUCGAACGAGUGGCGGACGGGUGAGUAAUGUGUGGCAAACUGCCCGAUGGAGGGGGACAACUACUGGAAACGGUAGCUAAUACCGCAUACCCUCGGAUGUGCCCAGCUGGGAUUAGCUAGUAGGUGGGGUAAAGGCUCACCUGGGCGACGAUCCCUAGCUGGUCUGAGAGGAUGACCAGCCACACGGGAACUGAGACACGGUCCAGACUCCUACGGGGGGCAGCAGGGGGGAAUAUUGCACAAUGGGCGCAAGCCUGAGGCAGCCAUGCCGCGUGUAUGAAGAGGGCCUGCGGGUUGUAAAGUACUUUCAGCGGGGAGGCGUUACCCGCAGAAGAAGCACCGGCUAACUCCGUGCCAGCAGCCGCGGUAAAC
rnacentral:rRNA from 1 species